UUCAACAAGUUUAAUUUUAAGUAACUUUCCCUGAGGAGACGAUCUAGGAAUUUAUUCCUAAUUAUUACACGACAUCCUCCUGCACUUGGGAUAGCAUUAGUGCUACUCAUUUUUGAGUGAGUCAGUUAAUGUAUCACGGCAUUGAUUGGAUGUAACCUAACUUUGUGUGGAAAUUGUUUGAAUUGAAUGGUUAUUUCAUGGCAGAAAUUAUCUACUAAAAACUGGGAGAGUAGGAAGAGGCUGGUUAUUAACCACACAGCAGGUCGCAAAUCCUUUGUGCGGAUUCUUGAAGAGAAGUAGAGGGCUGAAUCGGCGAAUAUGGUAGACUUCUUCAAGGAAACCCAUUGGUCAAAGAAGAAAAAUAACUUUUUAACACCAGCCACCGAAGACAAAUAUAAGGACAUGGUUUCGAAGUUGGAUACUCUAGAACCAGAGCAACGAACUGAUGAAAGGUUAGCGGGUGUCUUCAGAGAAGUACUUGGUCAUAGACCAGGCUAUGCAAGAGGAUUGGGAGAGAUGAUAAUCCCAGAGUCUACAAGACAACGCACAUUGGCACGAGAGAAAGAGUACCUAGAUUUGAUUGAGAAACAUAAGAAGGAGGCUGAAUCAUCCAAGAGUGAGAUGGAGGCAAUGAAGGCAAACAUGCAGCUUCUGUUGGAGAGACAAGCGGAAACUGACCGCUUAUUGAGGGCUUUCUUCGCUGCUAACCCGACCUCGCUCAGUGAGUCUCAGCGAGAGACUCAAUGAGUGGGGACAUGUGAGUCUGAAAGGGAAGGUUUUUUGUGGCUUUUUGGGUGCAUUUUUUGUUGUGCCGAUGGUGUUAUAUAUUGACAAGAUAUAUAUAUAUCCAAUGGAAGGCUAUAUUUUUGUGUUUUGUGGGAAGAAGCUGGGUUGGGUCAAAACAGUUUUUUGUGCCCUGUGAGAUAUCCUUAAAUUUUCAUAUGCUCAGUUUGGGCAACCAACAAUCCAUGGGAUUAUGCAAUGUGGUAAUAUCAUAAAGGAUAUGCAUUUGACCAACCAUGGAAAGGUCUGAAUGGGACGGGGAAUUUAUUGCAAUGCCAUUGUACUAUGAUUGGCAUGCUUGGAUAAGUAGAUUGGUAAGGUGUGGGCCUGUGUGAUGAACGCUGGAAAAUAGAGGAUGCCUGAACUGCAAACUACAUCAAAAGAGGAAGCAUAUUUUUUCAGGUGAUGUCUUCAUUCCCCGUCUUUUCUUCCACGGCCUGAUUAUGUAUCCAACACGUGCACAGAUUUGGAUGACUCAUACUUCAAUUGACUUUCUAGCUUUUAGGUGGCAGUGAUUAUAAUACUAGUGGAAAACACUAGUAUGAUGGAUUUUCAAUAUACGAUAAUUUCACGUAUGAAACAAUAUAGUAGUUCCCUUCAAAGGUUCAUGUAGGGUUAGUAUUGUGGUUACUGCAUUUAUGCACCUAUCUCGGAAUGUUUUUCAGAUUUUUGGGGAAAAUUAUGGAAGCACAAUUGAGGAAUUUUGUGUAGAACCUAACUUUUGCUUAUAGGACUUAUAUGCGCAACGGAUUUUACCAAAAGAUACCAUCAUGGCAUAAUAAAUGAGGGAUAAAUAAAUAAACACCAUGAUAACAUCAUUACUAACAGGCCACAUCAUUUAAGUUUAAAAUGUUAAACCACAUGUUGCUACAUGUAAUGGAAAGGAAAGGAAAAGUUUCAUUUCACAAAAGGCUACACUUGUUAUUAGCCUCAUGUAUUGGUCUAUGCUAUGUUAUGAAUAUACUAGAAAAGAUUGCUGAUCUAGUUUAAAAUCAUUGAUCUCAGGUCGAUUCUUGUAGAUGCCGAUUAUUGGGGCUGAACUUGGUGUUUUCUCACAUUUCAGGUCAUUAGGGAAUUUAUUGGGGUGGUUAUUUACCCACGCUUAUAAUGCUGAAACCAAAGGAAGUUGUGCAUAUAAAAUGGGUUGUUUUUAUGGAAUUUCUUCUCCGGUCAGUUACUAAUUAUUGUGUUUGAUAGGAUAAACACAACUAGAUAUUGUUGAUAAUAACCAUGUUCAAAAUCCAAUUAAAUCAAAAGAGUUGGAAUUCAGGAAUAAAUGGCAAGAAAAGUUAGUUUAUCUCAAAUUUUUACCCUGCUACAGCCAUAUGCAAGUAAAACCUACCAAAAUUCUACAAAAGACAUACAAGAGAAUGAGGAUACCAAAAUUAGGCCCAUGCAUUAGUUGAUUAGGUAAUCUUCACGUUCGGUGUAGUUGAGAUAGCAGUACUCUAGUAUACAAGCUGCUGAGAAGACUCAAUUACUUGUUUAACCUAUGGUGUCUCACAUGGGGGGGUGCUGUAGAUGUUCCAGCGGCUCUCGGGGUAGAAUCUUCAUGAUCUCCAGUUCCAUGAACACCUAAACUUUGUUGUAUUGGGCUGUAUUUAUGGAGAGAACUUGAAAUUUACACAUGUAUUUCCUGUUAGCUUGACUCCGAAACAUAGUAGUUAAAAUUCCCUUCCAUUAAUGCACCAAGCUAAUGUAUUGAUUACUAAAAGAUUGUAACAAUGUUGUAUUGGAUUUCUGAAUUUGAUUAUUAUAUUGAAAAUGUUAUGGUUGUUAAAAUGCAAA